rnacentral:misc_RNA from 1 species
AAGUCGUAACAAGGUUUCCGUAGGUGAACCUGCGGAAGGAUCAUUCACAAUCAAAGUUGCCGCUAGGGGCCUCUACCAGGGUAGCCUAGUGGCAUGCCAACAAAAUUUUGUUGUGCACCUUUGUGCAAAGUAAAUAACUUUACUCAAUUUUAUAACUUGACUGAAAAUUCUUCAUUAUUUUAAUUGAACAUUGAGAGACAAUUUUGUUGCUUUCAAUAAGUAGAUUAUAUUUGAAUCUUUAUACAACUUUUAACAAUGGAUCUCUUGGCUCUU